CCAGGACUAGGUUUAAUCUGUGUCUGGUAAAUCACCCCAAAGUGUAGUAGAUUAUAGAAGUGAUUUUUAAAUGUGAUUUUCCUCCAUAUUGUUUACGUUGAAAGCUCCAGAUAUUGUAUGCCGAUUGUGGUUUGUGAUUUACUAUUGUUCCAGGUAGCUGGUGAAGCUUAUAGACAAGAGGACAUGUUUGGAUGUGCUGCUAGGGAAAAAGGGUGGGGGGUGUUUAACCCCCUCCAAAACCUGCUAGGAGUGUUGAACCCCUUUCGACCCUGCUACCUUACUGAGGGACGACCAGGGUUUACAGGACUCUAACAUGACUUGCUGGCUAGUCUGGGACAGCCGUGCCAGUACUCCCCUUGUGACUGAGGCUGGCAAUCUGAGGCGGCCUACAAACGGAAGACACCUCUCAACCCCUGCUACCUUAUUGAAGAGGGUUCUUCAAGCGUUAACUCUUACAUGACUUGCUGACUAGCCUGGGAUGUGACUGAAGUUGACCGGUGGUUACAACAGAAGACGGAGAACAUUAUUAAAGGGUUUUGACCGUUCUUCCAUGUUCAGUCUCCCAUGGUCCAUAGGAGUAACCUACGACCUUUGAACCCUGACCCUCAAAUACAAAAGUUCAGGGGUCUUUUGGAUUGACCGAUUUGAUUGAUUGACCAGGAAGUGUCUCUAAACUAAAGCCCUAAGGACUUAUGAAGGCGGACACUAUAUGAGACCUGGCAGGAUGGUCGGAUAGUUAAUAUAUAUUCUUUGUUUUUCUUUGUAUUUACUUUGGACUGAAGAAGUGCCUGGAACCAACCUGCUACUUCCUGCUUCUCUUCUAUUGGUCAAUGGUCUAGGGGUUUUGCGUCCCAAAUGGCAUCUUAUUCCCUCUAUAGUGCACAACUCUAUGUGAACCCUGGUCAAAAGUAGUGCACUACCUACCCUAUGUGGGGCUCUGGUCAAAAGUAGUGCACUAUAAAGGGAAUAGGGUGUAAUUUGGGCCACAGAGACUUAUUGCUGGGGUCAAGGAAUGACUCUUGAAGCUGUGAGAACUGAUGUUAUGCAGGGAUAUUAACUAUACAAAAAUGUUCAGAUAUUUAACACACACUAAAAAAAAUAAAAACUAUUGCUCGUCUUUUUUGCUUUUUGCACUUGUCACUUAAAACCCAAAACCCCUAGUGAGUUUAACAGUCAAACUGCCAGGGGUUAAGAGUUUCCAAAACCUCUUCUAUGGAUUAUAUAUCUACGGCCACAACGCAACAACAUGUAUAUUUAGAGAGCGUGUUGUAGGCAACCGGUAACUGCCCAAAUAAAGGAAACCCCUUGAGUAAAUGAGGGGGAUACAAAAGUUUAUGUGUGGGGGGGGUGCAUUUUCCUGGCAUGGUCCAGGUCCACUUGUAGAAUCUAUGCCACGGUGCAUUGAAGCUGUUCUGGCAGCUCGUGGUGACACAACACCUAUUUAAGACGUUUAUGUAGGCGUUUCCUUUAUUUUGACAAUUACCUGUAUUUGAUCAAAUUUUAACCAGUUAUUUUUUUUUUUUUAACUAUUGAUCCUCUGCGACUAAAUUAUGUUCUCUGGUGUAUUUUGAACAUUGAGAGCACGCUCCUGUGAUUGGAUAGAUUUUAUUUUUUUAUUUUUU
rnacentral:lncRNA from 1 species